CAGGGAUAUAAGAAGCCUAAGUAUUACAUUGCAACACAAGGUCCUCUGUCUCACACCAUCGCUGAUUUCUGGGAAAUGGUUUGGCAAGAAGAUUCCAACAUUAUCAUCAUGUUGACCAACCUUAUUGAGCAGGACAAGCCCAAGUGUGAACAGUACUGGCCUAAUCAGCUUCAGAGGGAAAGAUAUGGAGAUUUCACCGUCGUCUCCACAGCACCUCCCAGUCGGACAUCAAAGAGCUUCAUCAUCCGAAAUUUCGAAG